CCUCUGCUCCCCGCUCUGCACCUCCGACCCGCCUCCCUCCUCCUCCUCCCAGCUCCCCCGCCCUCUGCUGCUCGCUGCCUCGCCAGUGAGAAUCUACUGUAAGUGUGAGUUGCUUAGACGAAGUCACACACUCGCGGAGGGAAGUAAUCUGAAGGCUGCUGUGCAUCUUGGAUAAGUGGCAUCCUAUGAAGAUGUGAACAAUGAAAUAAUAAGGACUCUCAGGGCUGAAGAAGUCGGAAAAGCGUGCUCAGAAGAGUCCCAAGAUUGAAGUGAUACACUGAUAUCUUUCAUCUAUCAAUGAGACAUUGCCACAGAGGGGGGAAAAAGAAACUAAAAAAAUCUCUAAAGAAGCAAACAUAGAGACAAAUGCAAAAGCUUGAGCCAUUGAGGAGAGCCUUGCAAUAAUGAUGUGUCUGUACAAAAGAACAUAUAGCAGAAAGUUCAUGCUUCACUCAUUAAAUUGAAAAAGAGAAGAAGGAGGAGGAAAAGCAGAAGGUAAAGAAAAAAGAAAAGGACAAGGAGGAAGAGAAUAUGAGGGAUAAGAAGAGGAAGAAGAUAAACCACAUUACUACCAAUUUGAAGAAAAAUAGUGACUACAACCAGCAUUUAAGACCCCAGGAAACGUCACUGUUUUUUCUUCAGAGAGCAUAAGAUUUGGAUCUACCAAAGCAGCAUGGAUUAAUAUCUUGGUAUAUACAUUUAAUGGAAUAUAUGAAGGUAUAAAGUCAGCCCACACAAUAAUAGUUAAGUAGUUGUUGCCCAGUUGAAGUCUUCAACAAUACUUUGAGUCGCCUUUUUUUUUAAAUAGAAUUUAAAAGCACAAAAAAACUCUUAAGCUUAUUCAGUAUUAUUUCAACUUUAUUUCAUUUACUAAAGUCCUUUGACCGACAAUUUGGAAAUUUUAAGAAAAUUGUUUUCCAAACAUUAAAAUGUAAACGGUAAUUUUUCCCAGUACAUGACGAUAACACAUCAUUAGAAUUCACACAUUGGUUUAGAAUCUAAUGACUUAACUUUAAUGAUAUGGGCUGAUCUAGUGGCUAAAGUUGGCGUCCUUUAUUUAAAGGUGAUUAUUGAAAGAACUGAAGAUUCUGGAUAUUUGUUUUCAGGAUGGGCUGCAGGCAUUUUGCAGAGCCAUACGCAUUGAAAUGGAAAUAUGAGCUGGAAUUAAAUAUUAGUAAAUGAAUAUUUACUGAAAUGGAAUGUUAGUAAAAUCCAACUUUACUUUCAUUUAGAGCCGAGUUUCAAAGACAAAAGGAAAUUUGUAAAUGGUGCUGUAAAUAAAUUUCUACACAAUUUGUCAUAGCAAAAAGAUAGGAAUAAUAAGAUCUUAUGAAACUGAAUAACAGUAGCAUUAUUGUCAACUGUUAGGUCUAUGGAUGAAAGUGCAAAAUGACAGAUAAAGAAAACAAA